UACGAAGGGGGCUAGCGUUGCCCGGAAUCACUGGGCGUAAAGGGCGCGUAGGCGGCCAUUUAAGUCGGGGGUGAAAGCCUGUGGCUCAACCACAGAAUUGCCUUCGAUACUGGAUGGCUUGAGACCGGAAGAGGUAAGUGGAACUGCGAGUGUAGAGGUGAAAUUCGUAGAUAUUCGCAAGAACACCAGUGGCGAAGGCGGCUUACUGGUCCGGAUCUGACGCUGAGGCGCGAAAGCGUGGGGAGCAACAGGAU
rnacentral:rRNA from 1 species